AUAUAUGGAUAAGGUUGGAUGUUUGGAAAGAGUGGUGCUGCAUUGGCACAGCUGCCCAGGGAGGUGGUGGGGUCCCUGUUCCUAGGGGUGUCCUCUUGGACAUGGAGAUGUGGCACUGAGGGGUGCGGUCAGUGGGCACGGCGGGAUGGGUUGGGUUUGGACCUGAUGAUCUCAGAGGUCUCUGCUUAGUGUGUUGUGAGUUCAUAACGCUUCUUUUGCUGGGAGGGUGGAGAUGAGUGGACGUCACAGAAGUUUGACUCUUGGAUUUGUGUGGGUUUGGUAUUUUUCAGGGUGAUUUUCAGGAUGGACAGCUUGAUGAGAGAGAGAGAUGGCUUCUGAGAAGGCAAUUACUUUGGCAGCUCUGGAUGCUGCAGAAAAGGAUGCUGAGCAGCAGGAGUGGGAGGCAGCUGUGUGGCUGAUCUGAUCUGAGCAUCAGUCACUGUACUCCAGGAUAAGGACUGUGAUGUUCCUGCAACCUGGAGAAUUACAGAGGAAUUUCUUUGUGGCCCAGAAGGCGCUGACCUCAUUCCUCCACCUUCCCACGCCCAGCAGUUUACAGGUUCAUUGGGAAAGAUUAAGGUAAUGAACUGUUCCCUUUCAUUUCCCCAUCCAUAAGCAGAAAUCCUCAGGCCAGAGAUAAGACACUGUGUUCAUCAUAAUAUGUUCCCAAAGGCUGGAGGUGGAACUGUGUGCUGGUGGGCAGGAAGAGGAAAACGCUGCCUAGCACUGCCCUGGAGUGAGCGAUAAAUCUGUAUGAAGGAGAAGGACGUGGGGAUCCAGGGACAAAAAGUGCAGGACAAAGGACAGAAGAACACCCAGCAGCAAACAUAUUUCCUUCUAAGCCAGCAAUGUUUUAUGCACGUGGGGAUCCCUUUGUGCCCAACUCCACCAAAGCUCCCUUCAAAGUAUGCACAGAUGCAAGCAACAGGGAGAAGGCGAGACCUGAGGAAUGCACUCUGAGCAGCAGCAGGAAUCACUCAGCCUCAGUGAUGCUCUGUGUUUUCAGCUGGGGCUGAUGCUCCCCCAGUCCUUCUGUCAGCAGGGCAGGGCUGGGAGAACACACUCAAUAGCAGUGAAAUCAAAGGGCACAAAUCAUGUUUGAACACAUCUGUAUCUGCCAAGCAAGGUCUUGUGGAUCUCAGAGGUAAGACUGCUUUCUCAGUGUGGUGUUCUCUAAAGAGCAAAUGGUGGAGUGUGGGACAGGCAGGGAGGCAUCGGCCAGCUUGAAAUGGGGGCUGUAGGGGCUGUGGCACAUGGAUCUGGAUCUCCAGAGGCGCUGAUGAGAAAUCCACACUGCUUGGUGCCCGGCAGGACACAGGAACCUGAGGGAGCCAUGGUCAU
rnacentral:lncRNA from 1 species